UACGAAGGGUGCAAGCGUUACUCGGAAUUACUGGGCGUAAAGCGUGCGUAGGUGGUUUGUUAAGUCUGUUGUGAAAGCCCCGGGCUCAACCUGGGAAUGGCAAUGGAUACUGGCAGGCUAGAGUGCGGUAGAGGGUAGUGGAAUUCCCGGUGUAGCGGUGAAAUGCGUAGAUAUCGGAAGGAACACCUGUGGCGAAAGCGGCUCACUGGACCAUUACUGACGCUGAGGCACGAAGGCCAGGGGAGCAAACGGG
rnacentral:rRNA from 1 species